rnacentral:rRNA from 1 species
GUCUGUUUGUAGCUAUAAAAAGUCUGAUCUGCCCACUGAUAAGUUUAAAGGGCCGCGGUAUUACUGACCGUGCAAAGGUAGCAUAAUCAUUAGGUUUUUAAUUGAGAUCUUGUAUGAAUGAUUAGACGAGAAAAAAACUGUCUUUGUAUUGAAUUUUGAAUUUAACUUUUAUGUGAAAAGGCUUAGAUAUUUUAAGGGGACGAUAAGACCCUAUAAAACUUUACAUUGAUACUAUAUUUGAUUGAUUUUUAUAUAAAGAUUUAAUAUAGUUAUUUGUUAUGUUGGGGAGAUAAUAGUAAAAUUUGUAUUAACUGCUAGUUUAUAAAACAUUUAUAAAUGGGUAUAUGUUAUAGAUCCAUUAUAGUGAUUAUAAGAGUAAGUUACUUUAGGGAUAACAGCGUUAUUCUUUUUGAGAGUUCAUAUCGAAAAAAGAGAUUGCGACCUCGAUGUUGAAUUAAAUUUUCUAUAUAAUGCAGGUGUUAUAUAAGAAGGUCUGUUCGACCUUUAAAUGUUUACAUGAUUUGAGUUCAAACCGGCGUGAGCCAGGUUGGUUUCUAUCUCUUAAAAUAGUAAAAAUUAUUUUAGUACGAAAGGAUAAA